rnacentral:rRNA from 1 species
CUUUGAAAGCCCCCUGGGGCCUUGGGUUCCCCCCGGGGCCACGCCUGUCUGAGGGUCGCU